rnacentral:rRNA from 1 species
GCGAGCUUGCCUAGAUGAUUUUAGUGCUUGCACUAAAUGAAACUAGAUACAAGCGAGCGGCGGACGGGUGAGUAACACGUGGGUAACCUGCCCAAGAGACUGGGAUAACACCUGGAAACAGAUGCUAAUACCGGAUAACAACACUAGACGCAUGUCUAGAGUUUGAAAGAUGGUUCUGCUAUCACUCUUGGAUGGACCUGCGGUGCAUUAGCUAGUUGGUAAGGUAACGGCUUACCAAGGCAAUGAUGCAUAGCCGAGUCGAGAGACUGAUCGGCCACAUUGGGACUGAGACACGGCCCAAACUCCUACGGGAGGCAGCAGUAGGGAAUCUUCCACAAUGGACGAAAGUCUGAUGGAGCAACGCCGCGUGAGUGAAGAAGGGUUUCGGCUCGUAAAGCUCUGUUGGUAGUGAAGAAAGAUAGAGGUAGUAACUGGCCUUUAUUUGACGGUAAUUACUUAGAAAGUCACGGCUAACUACGUGCCAGCAGCCGCGGUAAUACGUAGGUGGCAAGCGUUGUCCGGAUUUAUUGGGCGUAAAGCGAGUGCAGGCGGUUCAAUAAGUCUGAUGUGAAAGCCUUCGGCUCAACCGGAGAAUUGCAUCAGAAACUGUUGAACUUGAGUGCAGAAGAGGAGAGUGGAACUCCAUGUGUAGCGGUGGAAUGCGUAGAUAUAUGGAAGAACACCAGUGGCGAAGGCGGCUCUCUGGUCUGCAACUGACGCUGAGGCUCGAAAGCAUGGGUAGCGAACAGGAU